rnacentral:rRNA from 1 species
AGCUCCAUUAGCGUAUAUUAAAGUUGUUGCAGUUAAAAAGCUCGUAGUUGGAUUUAUGUGCUAGCGAGUCGGUCGGUCGCAAGGCUUGUUUACUGAUUCGCUUGUGCUUUUUCUCCGAGACCUCUUGUACACUUUACUGGGUGCAGGUGUGUAUUGGAGACGUUUACUUUGAAAAAAUUAGAGUGCUCAAAGCAGGCCACCGCCUGAAUAGUCGUGCAUGGAAUGAUGGAAUAGGGCCUCGGUUCUAUUUUGUUGGUUUCCGGAACUCGAGGUAAUGAUUAAUAGGGACGGACGGGGGCAUUUGUAUUGCGACGUUAGAGGUGAAAUUCUUAGAUCGUCGCAAGACAAACUACUGCGAAAGCAUUUGCCAAGAAUGUUUUCAUUAAUCAAGAACGAAAGU